rnacentral:snRNA from 1 species
GUGCUCGCUUCGGCAGCACAUAUACUAAAAUUGGGACGAUAUGGAGAAGAUUAGCAUGGCCCCUGCACAAGGAUGACAUGCAAAUUCAUGAAGCAUUCCAUAUUUAA